rnacentral:rRNA from 1 species
GACGAACGCUGGCGGCGUGCUUAACACAUGCAAGUCGGACGAUGAACCCGGAGCUUGCUCCGGUGGAUUAGUGGCGAACGGGUGAGUAACACGUGAGUAACCUGCCCUUGACUCUGGGAUAACUGCGGGAAACUGUAGCUAAUACCGGAUACGACCCUCGGAGGCAUCUCCUGGGGGUGGAAAGAAUUUCGGUCAAGGAUGGACUCGCGGCCUACCAGCUAGUUGGUGAGGUAAAGGCUCACCAAGGCGACGACGGGUAGCCGGCCUGAGAGGGUGACCGGCCACACUGGGACUGAGACACGGCCCAGACUCCUACGGGAGGCAGCAGUGGGGAAUAUUGCACAAUGGGCGCAAGCCUGAUGCAGCAACGCCGCGUGAGGGAUGACGGCCUUCGGGUUGUAAACCUCUUUUAGCAGGGAAGAAGCGAAAGUGACGGUACCUGCAGAAAAAGCACCGGCUAACUACGUGCCAGCAGCCGCGGUAA